GAUGAACGCUGGCGGCGUGCCUAACACAUGCAAGUCGAACGAAGCGCUUUGAAGUUUUCGGACGGAAGAGUGACUGAGUGGCGGACGGGUGAGUAACGCGUGGGUAACCUGCCUCAUACAGGGGGAUAACAGUUAGAAAUGACUGCUAAUACCGCAUAAGCGCACAGCUUCGCAUGAAGCAGUGUGAAAAACUCCGGUGGUAUGAGAUGGACCCGCGUCUGAUUAGCGAGUUGGCGGGGUAACGGCCCACCAAGGCGACGAUCAGUAGCCGACCUGAGAGGGUGACCGGCCACAUUGGGACUGAGACACGGCCCAAACUCCUACGGGAGGCAGCAGUGGGGAAUAUUGCACAAUGGGCGAAAGCCUGAUGCAGCAACGCCGCGUGAGUGAAGAAGUAUUUCGGUAUGUAAAGCUCUAUCAGCAGGGAAGAAAAUGACGGUACCUGACUAAGAAGCCCCGGCUAACUACGUGCCAGCCGCCGCAGUAAUAC
rnacentral:rRNA from 1 species